rnacentral:miRNA from 1 species
UAUACUUGACGUGAUUUCGGC